rnacentral:rRNA from 1 species
GAUGAACGCUGGCGGCGUGCCUAAUACAUGCAAGUCGAGCGAACAGACGAGGAGCUUGCUCCUCUGACGUUAGCGGCGGACGGGUGAGUAACACGUGGAUAACCUACCUAUAAGACUGGGAUAACUUCGGGAAACCGGAGCUAAUACCGGAUAAUAUAUUGAACCGCAUGGUUCAAUAAUGAAAGACGGUUUUGCUGUCACUUAUAGAUGGAUCCGCGCCGCAUUAGCUAGUUGGUAAGGUAACGGCUUACCAAGGCAACGAUGCGUCGCCGACCUGAGAGGGUGAUCGGCCACACUGGAACUGAGACACGGUCCAGACUCCUACGGGAGGCAGCAGUAGGGAAUCUUCCGCAAUGGGCGAAAGCCUGACGGAGCAACGCCGCGUGAGUGAUGAAGGUCUUCGGAUCGUAAAACUCUGUUAUUAGGGAAGAACAAAUGUGUAAGUAACUAUGCACGUCUUGACGGUACCUAAUCAGAAAGCCACGGCUAACUACGUG